rnacentral:rRNA from 1 species
GACGAACGCUGGCGGCGUGCUUAAUACAUGCAAGUCGAACGAAAAGGCCCUGCUCUUGUGGGGUGCUCGAGUGGCGAGCGGGUGAGUAACACGUGUGUAACCUGCACUUGACUUUGUGAUAACUCCAGGAAAAUGGGGCUCUUACCGGAUAUGAGCUCCUGCUGCAUGGUGGUGGAUGGAAAGAUUCGGCGGUAGGGGAUGGACUCGAAGCUUAUCAGCUUGAUGGUGGAGUAGUGGCUUACCAAGGCUGUGACGGGUAGCCGGCCUGAGAGGGUGGCCGGCGACAUGGGGACUCAGAGACGGCGCAGACGGCUACGGGAGGCAGCAGGGGGGAAUAUGGCAGAAUGGGCGGAAGCCUGAGACAGCAACGCCGCGUGCGUGAUGACGGCCUUCGAGUGGUAAACAGAUGUCGACUGUGACGAAGCGGGAGUGACGGUAAUGGGUAAAGAAGCACCGGCUAACUACGUG